CUUCGGGUUGUAAAGUACUUUCAGUGGUGAGGAAGGGAGUGUGGUUAAUAGCCAUAUUCUUUGACGUUAGCCACAGAAGAAGCACCGGCUAACUCCGUGCCAGCAGCCGCGGUAAUACGGAGGGUGCGAGCGUUAAUCGGAAUUACUGGGCGUAAAGCGCAUGCAGGUGGUUUGUUAAGUCAGAUGUGAAAGCCCGGGGCUCAACCUCGGAGUUGCAUUUGAAACUGGCAGGCUAGAGUACUGUAGAGGGGGGUAGAAUUUCAGGUGUAGCGGUGAAAUGCGUAGAGAUCUGAAGGAAUACCGGUGGCGAAGGCGGCCCCCUGGACAGAUACUGACACUCAGAUGCGAAAGCGUGGGGAGCAAACAGGAUUAGAUACCCUGGUAGUCCACGCUGUAAACGAUGUCUACUUGGAGGUUGUGGCCUUGAGCCGUGGCUUUCGGAGCUAACGCGUUAAGUAGACCGCCUGGGGAGUACGGUCGCAAGAUUAAAACUCAAAUGAAUUGACGGGGGCCCGCACAAGCGGUGGAGCAUGUGGUUUAAUUCGAUGCAACGCGAAGAACCUUACCUACUCUUGACAUCCAGAGAAUCCUGCGGAGACGCGGGAGUGCCUUCGGGAGCUCUGAGACAGGUGCUGCAUGGCUGUCGUCAGCUCGUGUUGUGAAAUGUUGGGUUAAGUCCCGCAACGAGCGCAACCCUUAUCCU
rnacentral:rRNA from 1 species